AAUCAACGCUGGCGGCGUGCCUCAGACAUGCAAGUCGAACGCGAAAGUUCCCUUCGGGGGAUAAGUAGAGUGGCGUCCGGGUGAGUAACACGUAGGUAAUCUACCUUUGGGUGGGGAAUAACAACCGGAAACGGUUGCUAAUACCGCAUAAUGCAGCGGCACCACAUGGUGACAGUUGUUAAAGCGGGGGAUCGCAAGACCUCGCGCCUAAAGAGGAGCCUGCGGCGGAUUAGCUAGUUGGA
rnacentral:rRNA from 1 species